rnacentral:rRNA from 1 species
AGUGAACGCUGGCGGCGUGCCUAAUACAUGCAAGUCGAACGAGCGGCGGACGGGUGAGUAAUGUCUGGGAAACUGCCUGAUGGAGGGGGAUAACUACUGGAAACGGUAGCUAAUACCGCAUACCAUCAGAUGUGCCCAGAUGGGAUUAGCAAGUAGGUGGGGUAACGGCUCACCUAGGCGACGAUCCCUAGCUGGUCUGAGAGGAGGACCAGCCACACUGGAACUGAGACACGGGCCAGACUCCUACGGGAGGCAGCAGUGGGGAAUAUUGCACAAUGGGCGAAAGCCUGAUGCAGCCAUGCCGCGUGUGUGAAGAAGGCCUUCGGGUUGUAAAGUUCUUUCGGUGACGAGGCGUUAAUCACAGAAGAAGCACCGGCUAACUCCGUGCCAGCCGCCGCGGUAAUUC